ensembl:lincRNA
UCGGGCGGAGCUCGCAUGCGCGUGCGUGUGGUGGCGCAGACGCUCUCGGGUUACCCGGGGUAUCCGCCCGAGGGCGAGCGGCGCCGAAGGGGGCGCUGUAUCACGUAUGCUUGCAAGCGGGUGAGUCCGCGAAGGCUUGGGAGCUGUCUGAGAGUCCCGUGAGGCUCAGGCCUUUUUGCCCAAAGAGUGAAGUUCUGAUUAUCUCCUACUUUUCAAAGGAAAGCUGUCAGGAAAGCCAACUUUCCUCAAUUGAUGGAGAUUUUUUGGUUGUUAGGAAAGAAUCAUUUAUAAAUGUGGACAUCCUGAUUGCAGAAAGCCGAAGAAAGACUGAACUAAAAUAUUCUAUUAAUAUCAAAGGAAUAUGUGGGUGUCUGUGGUACUGCCGGGCCAAUGACGUAUUAAUGAGUUCAAUGAUUGCUAACUUGGGAAGGUGUGGCCAUUAUGUGAGUUAAGGACAAUGUAGGACUUUGGUCACAGUGUGCUGAGUAUAUAUACUGGCACCUCAGUCCUCCAGAGGAUUUCAUGCUGAUCCCUCAUCCCACUUAAUCAAGAAUUUGGCUCCUAGAAGAGGCUUAUUACUUUAAAGAGAAGCUUGCUAUGAUCAUCUGCCCCAUUCUAGCUCAGGAAUUUUUCCUGGAUAGAAAAGCAGGCUAUAAUACAGACAAUGAGUAAUCCCUUCCUAAAGGAACUGUCUUCAUUUGUGAAAGAGCCAAAGAAGUUCAAGGUUUUGUUUUUUGUUUUCUUUUUUUUGUUUUUUUUGGUACCAGGGAUCAAACUCAGGCCCUUGCGCAUGGUGAAUAGCAGUCGGGAAGAGUGUCACAGUUUUAAUGGGUCUACAGCUUGGACUAUGGGCUGACUGCCUUGUUGGACAGAACGGGAAAAUGAAAGGAGAAGGGUGGGGGGAUAAAUAGCAAGAAAGUUUUCCUGAGUCAGAAAAAUUAUUGGACAAUAAUCUCAAACCUUUCCUGCAAAGGCAUUACAUUUGAUCGGAUUCAUAUGUCAAGCAAUUUAUGUCACCAAGCAUUGUCAAAAGCAGUAAACCAAUCAACAAGCAGUAAACCAAUCCAACAAUUGGUGGAAUUUAACAUCAGGCAGGAUAGAGAGAAUGAGGAGAGAAAGCAAGUGCCAUUGUCCAUUGUUGGUGGGUGAGUGGGUAUACCCCAAGGUGCACUCCCUAAGAAGCAAUACUCCAUGUUUAACAUUGUUCAUGAGUGUGUGUGUGUGUGUGUGUGUGUGCGAGGAAAGCACUGAUUUUACUUAAUCAGUCAACAAACAAGCUCCUCAAAAGAUGGUGAGCUAUGAUUUGAGUAUGCUUCACCCCUCUGAGACUCAUGUCAGAAAUUAUUUCUCAUUUGGAGACAUUAAGAGGGUGAAAUCUUGAUCCAGCUAUGAUGUUUAGUAAGUAUAUCUCAUGGGAAGUGAUCAGGAUUAGAUAAAGUUAUCAAGAUGUAACACUUUGGAUGUUUGGAUACUGGUGGCUUUAUAAGCAGUUGAGAGGUGGGGGGAUAAAGAAAGGGGUUAGGAAUGGGAAGAGGAAGAAAGAAGACAACCAUGAAGAGCAGGGAAGGGAAGGGGAGGUGAGAGAGGGGAAGGGAAGAGAAAGUAUACAUGCAGCUUGUCAUGUGAUGUCUUACGCCAUCUGGGAACUCUGCCAGGAAAAGGCCAUUGUCAGAUGAGUCUCUUAAUUUUGGACCAGAACUGUGAGCCAAAAUAAACCUUUCUUCUUUAAAAUACCUGCA